UUAUGAUUAGGGGUUUGGUUUAUUAUUAGGGGUUAGGGGUGAUGGUGAGGGUGAGGGUGAGGGUGAGGGUGAGGGUGAGGGUGAGGGUGAGGGUGAGGGUGAGGGUGAGGGUGAGGGUGAGGGUGAGGGUGAGGGUGAGGGUGAGGGUGAGGGUGAGGGUGAGGGUGAGGGUGAGGGUGAGGGUGAGGGUUAGGGUUAGAGUUAGGUUUUGAGGUUAGCUUUAGGGUCAGGCUUAGGGGUUAGCGGUUAUGGUUAGGGUUAUGGUUAGGUGUUAGGGUUAGGGUUAUUUUUAGGGUUUGGGGUUGGGUUAGGGUUAGAGUUAGGAUUAGGGGUUAGCAUUAGUGUUAGUGUUAGGGUUUAGGGGUUAGCAUUAGGGUUAGUGUUAGGGUUUAGGGGUUAGUGUUAGGGUGAGGUUUAGGGCUAUCAUUAGGGUUGGGGUUCGGGUUAGGGUUUAGGGGUUAAGUUUAGGGUUAGGAUUAGGGUCAGGUUGGUUUAGGGUUAGGAUUUGGGUUAGGGUUUGGGUUAGGUUUAGGGUUAGGGUUAGUGUUCGGGUUAGGAUUGGGGUUGGCGUUGACAUUGGGAUUAGGGAUUAGGGAUUAGGUUUAGGCUUAGAUUUAGGCUUAGAGUUAGGAUUAGGGUGAGGGUUAGGGUUAGGGUUAGGGGUUUGGGUUUGUGUUUGGGUUAGGGUGAGGGGUUAGGUUUAGAUUUAAGUUUUAGGGUUAGGGUUAGGGUUAGGGUUAGGGUUAGGGUUAGGGUUAGGGUUAGGGUUAGGGUUAGGGUUAGGGUUAGGGUUAGGGUUAGGGUUAGGGUUAGGGUUAGGGUUAGGGUUAGGGUUAGGGUUAGGGUUAGGGUUAGGGUUAGGGUUAGGGUUAGGGUUAGGGUUAGGGUUAGGGUUAGGGUUAGGGUUAGGGUUAGGGUUAGGGUUAGGGUUAGGGUUAGGGUUAGGGUUAGGGUUAGGGUUAGGGUUAGGGUUAGGGUUAGGGUUAGGGUUAGGGUUAGGGUUAGGGUUAGGGUUAGGGUUAGGGUUAGGGUUAGGGUUAGGGCCAGGACCAAAUCAGGCUUCUCUCAAUAUGGAGUGAAGACUAACUGACCUUGUCCCAGUUCACAGAGGUGGAUUUUGAAAUCCUCUUCCAGCUGUGCCUUUCAGCCUUAGUGCCCUGAGAUCAAAC
rnacentral:lncRNA from 12 species